UAACCGACUCCAAUCGGGACCAAAAUUUAUAUGUGAUAUCUGUGACCCUGGUAUUGCCGAUUGAGAGGGUGAGACUGAAACAAAUGGUUCAUUUGAUUUUUAAGCACCACCCUAGUGUACAUAUAAAUAGAAAAUUUGUUUUGA